rnacentral:tRNA from 1 species
GCUUGGGUAGCUCAGUCAGUUGAGCAUCUGACUUCAGCUCAGAUCACAAUCUCAAGCU